UUCCCUCCAAGAACUUCUCACCUUGCUCUUGGGGAGACUUGAACUCAAAACCUCUCUGUCGUAAUUGAAGACUCUUUGUACGCAAUACUUAAAUAUAUAUAAAUAUUAUCGUUUUGUACCAAAAAAAAGAGUGCGCCAUCUGCAGAGGAUUCCUUUAACAGGAUCCAAACACGUGUACACUGUUCCCAAGCACGCUCUGUAAAUAGACCCGGGACUCCCCCUACUAAUUUCAGUCCGACACGUCACUCUCACUAUUCCAAUUCACUAUACUAAUUACCCUUCCGAUUUGUAGCCAAAACACAAAUAUUAUUGGUCGACGCUUCAGUAUCAGGGGUUAAAAUGGUAAAUUGAACCUCCCUAAGUCACUGCCGCUAUGCGUAUAAUUACCCCACAGCUGCUAUUUUCCGAUGAAUAUACACCAUAAGUACCCAAAAAAUAUAAAUAAAUAAGGGAUGCGUGACAGUUCAUCAAUGGCAGCUCUGCAGUCUGGCACUGGGUUUUAUCUUCUUCCUCUCUCUUGAAUCUAGAUUAAUGUUGCUAUAGAUUACUGCAGUUUUCUAUGUAUAAAAAAAUAUAACUAUUAAAUUCAUAAUAUUUAUGUCACUUCGGUGAGUUUGGCGGCCUGUGUUUAUGCAAAUUAUUUGGUAGAUGUAUUUGAUUUGUGUUUAUGGAGGUUAGAUCUAUGUGAUAUGUCACAAACUGAGAGCGGGAUGCUGUUAAUAUUUUUCUUUGUUCUUCUUUUGGUUGGUUAAGAACACUGGAGGCAGCGGUUCAUCGAUCUGUUCCCUGAAAGGCGAUAAACAAAAUAUAGCAACAGGAAUCGGUCGAUAAACCUCUGCAUCCAGCGCUUAACCCCCUUCUCUCUCAUAUUGUUUUUCAUUUUUCUUCUCUUUAAUUUUUUUGAAUUAAUUGCUUCCGCAGUUCAUGAUAUGUUCAUGUUUGGUCUUUUAAGAUGUAUUAACUGCGUUUUGUUGGAUUUUCUGCUAAAAUGUGUAGAUUUAAUUUGCACAAUUUUCACAAAGAUUUGUCAUCUUAAAAGGAUAAUUACCGUACUAAAGGCAGAAAGAGAACAGUAAUCAGUUCCAGAAUAUGUAAUUAAGGUCUGGUUUUGGUUUAGUUGUGUAGAGAAAUACUCCCUCCGGUCCAAAAUAAAUGAUUUUUUAACUGUUUUCACACAGAUUAAGAAAUUCAUCUUUUAACAUUAAUUAGCAAUAAAAUUGAUCAUAUUAACCUUUACUAUCUUUUCACAUAAAUAAUCCAACACUAUUUACUCCAAAGGCAAUAUAGAAAAAAAUAAUAAUUAAUCAUUUUUGAAAUCUGAAAAAAUCGCUUAUUUUGGAUGACAAAAAAAUACCUUAUAAGUUUGUAAUUAUAUGCACAUGUAGAUAUUUAGUCCUAUUUGCAUAGUUUUUCUAUCCGAAAAGAGUGCGGUUUAUAUCUUUCUUUCAUUUUGGUGAAAAAAGCAUAUCGGUAAUUGCAUUUGAACUUUUCGGGGUUCUGAGGGAAGCUUUAAGAUAUAUUUAAUGCAUCUCCGUGCAAUUGCACCUAUUAUUUCGAUUACUGUUCCCUUCCAUAAGAAAAAGUUGCUAUCCAAGAACUAAUUAAGAAUUGUUGAGUUGCUCUUACUAGUUGAUAUGGGUAUUUUCUUGAGAUAUCUUAUAAUCUUAGCCGCUCACAAAAAUAAUAAUCGAUAAAAAAUAUCUUUUUUAUUAUAUACAAAAAAUUUAUGUAUUUUAUACAUUUUUUGGCUAGCGAAUGUAAUUACUAGUUUUAGUCGACUGGCCAGUUAUGUAUUUUGCCCCAUUUUCUUUUUCUUCUUUUUAUGCCUCAUAUCUAUUCCUGGUUGCCGUAAGUCAUUUUUCUACUGAUGUCAAGUUGAAUACUUAUGAUUCUUUGCGGAAAAUCUAUGCAAUUAAUUUGAUCCCCAUUUUGCCCACUGCAGUGACACUCUGCAAAAAAAGAAUUAGAAUUGGUGAAUAUACUCUUCCUUUGUCAUAUCUGGAAUUGGCUGGUGAUACUUCAUUUCUUUUUAACUGGCACUUUCUAUGGUUUUGGAUUAAAUGUGCUAUUCCAAUUUCCAACUAUCCACGAUUGAUUGGAAUGCUACAUUUGAGAUUAAUGCACCCACAUGGAUUUAUCACUUAGAUUUAGUUUAAAAGUUGAACUAUAUUUACAAAGAAUCAAUUCGUUACCAACUAUGUGGUUGGAUGUCACUUUCACAAUUAGUGAGUCAAAGGUUGUUUUUACUAGUUUGGGGGGUUUCUUUUGUUUUCCUUCAGGAGAGAAAGUUUACCUUCUAAAGAAAGUAUUGAAAGUGGGGAACAUGUUGUGCCUGUGAAAGUAAAGAGGAAUUGGAAAAUUGUUGUAUAAAGUGCCAAAUCGUCAGAGAAUCUUUACAAGUGAUGGGAACUCUUAGGAAUCUGGUAUCACAUUCCUUUUGCAAAGCUAGAAACCUAGUCAAGAAUUUAGUAGGUUGGAGCAAUCAAAAUAGUAGUAAUUUUUUUGACUGUACCUCUGAAUAGCAUCAGUUAAUGGAAAAGAAAAGAGUCUCUGUCACUUUCAAUAUUGAGGAUCUUCUUUUGCUUCUAGCUUUUUUGUGUUGUAAUUCAUAGAGUGGUGAUGUGCCCACACAGCUGCUUCUGAAAGAUUAUUCUGCCAAUAAUAUUUCUUCCUUGAAACUAGCCCCUGAGAAAAGAAGGAUUCUAGGUCGCCUAAACCAUUUGAUUUUUUUUUGUUAGUUUCCCACUCUAUGUCCAAUACUUGGUUUUGGGUCUCCUAUGAAUUUGGGUCCGGACAGUUUCACUAUGGGUGGUAAAAACGUUCGUUACAUAUGGUGAUUUCAUUUUCAUGACUCGAAUCCAAACUAUUAAGAAUUGAGGAGUAUGAGUAUUUACCACCGCACCACAAACCUUUGGUAGUUAAAACUUAAAACCACUUGAUUCUGAAUUCACAUUUUCGCUCUUGUUGAAGGCCACCCACUAAAUUCAGAAUUCAUUACCAGCAAUAUUAAGUUCUCUCUCAAUAUCUGGAGAAAUUUUUCUCGUUUGUUAUCUUCAAAUUAUUACCUGAAUGUUUAGCACUUGUCAAUGGUGUGGAAUGCGGCCUCUUGUGGAUCAUUCACAUGCUUUAACGUGCAACAAGCCUUUAUUCUAUUAUUAGUAGAUAAUAGCAUCUAUACUACUAUAUGUGUAUUGGUCAUUGCCGUCAAGCUGACCAACGUCCCGUCUAGACGGCAAGGAGGUGAAAGACGACAUGGCCUAUUCCACAUCAAGCAUUCUCGAUAUCCGUCGAGCCAGAAGAAACGAUGUUUAGAGGACGACCAAGACAGACAUAAUGUAAGACCGUCGAACCAAGUAGAUAGCAAAGGUCCCAUGACUAUAUAUAGUAAGGAAAAACCUUCGGUUAAGGGGAUCUGGGGCUUCUCCCGCUCUCCUUACUUCCCUCUUGUGUAAUCUUCCUAAACACAAAAGGAACAAUAUAGCAAUCUCGAAAGGAGGAUAUGUAAAACAACCUCCCCAUUGAUUAAUGAGAGACACAACGAAAGUUUCAAUAAGAUUGGUUACCUCUGUUUCAUCUUAUAUGCUACUUAUUCAAUUAGCUCAUUGAUCUGGAAUUCAUUAUGUUUAACUAAGAUUUUUCCCUUCUCUUUCUUUGAUUGAUUUGUCCUAAAAAGGUUCCAAUAUCUUUUUAGUCAAACAAUAUGAUUUACCAACCCAAAAAAAAGAGUAAAAUGUUGUUUCGGAUAUUACUUCAGAAAAUGGUGCCCCUUAGUGAGAGAUGUAAUUGUAAAACAGUACUCGAAUAAUUUGCAUAUAGGUCUCUUUCGUCACAUGUGACAAAUUUAUCACAUUGCACAGUUGUUUGAGUAGAAAGUGUCCUCAUUUCAUGAACAUAAAUAUUUCGCUUAAAAUACUUUCUAUAAAAUGGUCCUUGCCCACCCCCCCCCANNNNNNNNNNNNNNNNNNNNNNNNNNNNNNNNNNNNNNNNNNNNNNNNNNNNNNNNNNNNNNNNNNNNNNNNNNNNNNNNNNNNCAUGAUGCAAUUGACAAAGAGGUGAUAAUGGACAUGACAAUAAUAACAAGAUUGACAUUAAACAGAUCAAUAAUUCCAAAUGAUAUAUGGAGCAUACUGUGACAAAACACAUGUCCGUCACAGCAAUAUAAUGACUUGUUGAUAGUGAGAUAAUUUUUGUUUGCGUGCGCUAUUUGAUGAUUAGUAAUAAUGAUAAAACUUAAAAGAGACAGCUUAUAUUUACAAUCAUUUCAUAUAUUUUCUUUUACCUUUCAUGAUACACUAUAUACCGAUUAAAUCAUAAAAAAGUUUAAAAAAGAAAAAAGAUGCAUCGAAUUCAUAGGUCGCUGAUUAAAGAAGCAUCCUACCUGAAAUUUUAUUUACCUAAACCAACAAGAGACCUACCGUUAAGUAUAGCAUGGCAACUUGAGGGAGACGGAGGUGCCAUGAUGCAUGUUAUUUGCUGAUGACAUAGUUCUAAUUGAGGAGACAUGAGGCGGCGUCAAUGAGAGGUUGGAGGUUUGGAGACAUGCCCUUGAAUCUAAAGGUUUCAAGUUGAGCAGGACGAAGACGGAAUACCUCGAGUGCAAAUUUGGGGUCAAGCCGACGGAAGAGGGAGUGGACGUGAGGCUUGACUCUCAAGUCAUUCCUAAGAGGAGUAGUUUCAAGUAGCUUGGGUCGGUUAUUCAGGGGAUCGGGGAGAUCGACGAGGAUGUCACAUACCGUAUAUGUGUGGGGUGGAUGAAGUGGAGGUUAGCGUCGGGAGUCAUGUGUGACAAGAAAGUGUCACCGUUACUAAAAGGUAGUUUUUAUAGAGCAGUGGCUAGGCCUGCCAUGUUAUGUGGGACUGAGUGUUGGCCGGUUAAGAACCCACACAUCCAGAAGAUGAAAAUAGCAGAGAUGAGGAUGUUGAGGUGGAUGUGCGAGCAUACAAGGAUAGAUAAGAUUAGGAAUGAAAAUAUUCGAGAGAAGGUGGGCGUGGCCCCCAUGGAGGACAAGAUGCAGGAAGCAUGACUCAGAUGGUUCAGGCACAUUCAGAGGAGGAGCACUGAUGCACCGGUGAGGAGGUGCGAGCGACAGGCUGUGGUGGGCAUGAGGAGAGGUAGAGGGCGACCUAAGAAGUAUUGGGGAGAGGUGAUCAGGCAUGACAUGGCGCGACUUAGGAUUACUGAGGACAUGGCCCUGGACAGGGAAUUGUGGGGGUCGAGCAUUAAGGUUGCAGGUUAGGAGAAAGUUGUGAAUAUUUCUACGGUGCACCAGGGUGAGAUUAGCCAGUUAGGAGUUACUAUUUGGAUGCUAGUAGUCAUCAACUGAUGCAGGGCUUUAUCUGCUGGUUAUUAUCGUACUUUCCAUCUAUUUCAUAUUUCUUAUAUUGUUGUCAUUUUAUUGUGAUUCUAUUGAUGGCACUAAUAUAUCGUCUCUUGUGGCCUUCUUGAGCCGUGGGUCUCCUGGAAACAACAUUUCUUCCCCUAAAAGUAAGGGUAAGGUCUGCGUACAUAUUACCUUCCCCAGACCCCACUUGUGGGAUUACACUGGGUCGUCGUCGUCGUCGUUGUUGUUGUUGUUGUUGUUGUUGUUGUUGUUGUUGUUGUUGUUGUUGUUGUUGUAAUGUUUAUGAAAUAUGAUCAUAUCUUGAAGAAAAAAAAUUAAAAAAUUUCAAGUUCCCGAAUGGUUUAGGCAAAUUUCUUUCUUCCACUUACAAAACUUUAACUUUUCUUCAAAUAAAAUCCAUAUCCAAACACAAUUUUAACUUUCAAAAAUUAUUUUUAACACAACUUCAAAAAUUCUUUUUUCAAGUUUCAAUCAAAUCUAUGUCUAAACGCUAGCUUAUAUUUUGUUAUUAUGGGUAAGGUGGACGAAAGAUUAGCAGAUGACGACUUUUAAAUUUAAAGUGAAGAUUUAAAUUCUUCUUCUAAUUUUAGAAUUGAAAUUUUUUCAUUCCUAUACACUAUUGGAAAUUUUAUUACCCUAAAUGUUCAUGUUUAGUAAAUUAUCCUACCUACACAAAUUUUGUUUACAAAAUAUAUACAUUCCACGUUAAAAGGCUUCAAAUCCAUUAUUAAUGCCUUCAAUUAAGGGAUUUAGUUACAUCAUUUUCCUUCUUUUUUCACCUCUUUCCCCUUUUUUCUCCUGAUCUUCAACUCACACUCCAAAUAAGUUUUUGUGUGAGUUUUAAUAAAUAUAUCGUCUAUAUGUUUUCCAAUCAAAAUGAAACAGAUCACGCCCUGAGCUAUUUUUGAAAGUUAUCAUUCCUCCUUCAAGUUUUAAUCAUUCAUAAGUAUCUGAGAGUUUGGACUAUAAACAGAUAAACGGUAAAAGUUCAACUGCUUGUGCUCACAUUCCUGCGGGGCACGAAGUUACCUCCACAGUGCAUAAUCUUAAAUUAUGUUAACACAAACAAAAAUUAAAACAGCGAUGAACAUAAAAAGUGAAAAAUAUAAUUACUUUACCUUUAGCAUUUUUUUUAUUUGCUUUUCUUGCUCGUCAGAUUCUUAUGAAGGUAUUUUAUGAACAAAUAGUGAUAUAAGUGUCGAACUAAACUUAAUUUGUGUCCAAAAUAAAUUUCAUUAUCCUAAAAAUGAACCUUUCCAACAUAUUAUAAUCUACAUAAAAUCGUCCAUGACCUGUUUCAUAUUCUAUAACACAAUGUGUCGGGACAACCCACAUUCCUAUGGCUUAGAAAGGUGAUUACAGAACCAAAACUACAUUGUUAUUGUAGUAGCUGUGAGAGUUUGGAAUUAAGCUGCAAGGCACUAUACGUUCUUUCUAUUAUGUUCUAAACGAACUUCGAUAGAACUAAAUAUUUUUUAUACAAUUUUAUAAAAUAUAUCUUUUGUAUAUUUUGUAUCUGAUUUAUACAUAGUAAAAAUAAAUUUCAUGCAACUAGUUAUAUAUUAUACAAUUUAUCUACAAUUUUCAUACAUUAUUUCUACUUAGUUAUAUACAACUACAAUAAAAUACCACUUAAAUACAAAUUUUAUACAAUAUGUCUUUUGUAUAUUUUGUAUCUAAUUUAUACAUAGUAAAAACAAAUUUCAUACAACUAAUUAUAUAUUAUACAACUUAUCUACAAUUUUUAUACAUUAUUUCUACUCAAUUAUAUACAACUACAAUAUCAUAAAACUUAAAUAUAAUUUUUAUACAAUGUUGUUCAACUUUCAUACGAUAGUUAAAUGAAUAAAAGAAAAAUAAAUAAACAACAGAAUACAUUUUUUCUAUAAUUUUUCAACAAUUUUACUACAAUUUCUGCAAUAUAAUGUAUGGCAUAUCUUCUUCUUCUUCUUCUUCUUCUUCUUCUUCUUCUUCUUCUUCUUCGAGUUUCAAUCUGAAAUUCAGCCAAAACCAAGUCGGGCAUUUGCAUCUAUACCCGCUUUUUGGGUCACGUUUUAACUUGUGUCCGCUUUACAAAAAAAAUUGCAAGCGUACCCACUUUUUCGCGUAACUUCAGCAUACGUUGAACCAAGUGUGCAGAAGUUUUUCUUUGUAAUUGCUAAACUUAAGCAUAAUAGCUGAAGUUUUGUUCUCUAUUUGCUGAAGUUUUUGUUUGUAAUUGUUGAAGUUUUUGUUUUUGUCACUGGCGAACUUCAGCUCUAGAGCUGAAGUUUUUAUUUUUCAACAGGCCAACUUCAGCUCUAGAGCUGAAGUUUUGAUUUUUGUAAGAGCUGAAGUUUUUAUUUUGUAACUGGCGAACUUCAGCUCUAGAGCUGAAGUUUUUGUUUUUGUAACUGGCGAACUUCAGCUCUAGAGACUGGCGAACUUCAGCUCUAGAGCUGAAAUUUUUGUUUGCAAUUGGCGAACUUCAGCUCUAGAGCUCUAGGAGGCAUGUUGUACCCAAACGAAGUAACUUAAAGCAACAUUAACAGGAACCAGGAAACAUCAACACAUUACCAAUCCAAUCGACAACUGAAAUCUCCAAUUUUCGUCAGACCCAAUUCACCAAACAACAAUAUAAAAUUAAUAAUUAAUUUUUCUUGUCCCAUUUUCAUAUCAAAAUUGUGAAUAAGAUUCAAGUUGCAAAACCAAGAUAGAACCUUUACAGCUGAGGGUGUCGGCGAAAAGGAUAAAAUGAUUGAAAAUUUAUAGGACUCACCGGAGAAAUAAGAAGAAGCAGAUAGGGCUGAACUUACUUCUAAAAAAAGAAAAGAUAAAACUUUGAAGAGGAGGAGAAGGAGGAGAAAGGGGGCUGAAGUUGUUUAAAAAGUGGGUACAAGUUAAAACUUUUUUUUAAAAAAAAUGGGUAUAGGUUAAAUGAGGGCGACCAAAUAGGGCACCCCGUACAAUUUUUACAAUCAAGUCUAAUCUUCACCAAAACCCCUCAAAAUUGAGAUAUAAACUCCAAACCAUAUUUCCAAUUAUUUGCAACAACACCUAAUCCAAAUAAAUAAUAAUUUUUAAAAACCCAAAUUCGAAUUCAAAGCUUUUUAAUGACUGUCAAUGGUGGAAUUGCUGCUCUCUUUUCCUUUGCUUUAUAUUAUUGAAAUUUGGGAUUGAGAGAUAGAUAGAGAUGUAGAGAGAAUUCUCAAUUCUUUGCAACAACAUCCAAUCCACAAACAAUGUCUUUUGAAAACCCAAAUUCGAAUUCAAAGUUUCAAAGCUUUUUAAUGGUUGUCAAUGGUGAAGGGGAUACAGAUUUUCGUUGGUUUUAGAAGAGAAAAUAGUGGGUGAUUGAAGAGAAAAUCGUGGGGUGUGGUUUGAUACGUGGGUGAGGGGGUGAGAUUUGGAGAGAGAAACUUGGGGGGAGUGGGAAUAUACGGUAGAGUUAAAUUACGAGACUAAUUAAUACCAUUAAAACCUCUAAAAUAUAUAUAAAUGGUAAUUAGGUAUAUAAAAGGUAAUUAUAUUAACAGUUAAGCAUGGAGGGUAAUAUAGUUUACUAUAUGGCAUAGGAAUGUAAAAAUCUCUUUAGAAUUCAGAAUUAUAUGUGUUUAUAUUGGCCCAAUAAAGUCGAGAAACUAGCUCCAUUUCGUAAGUUGGAUCAUAAUGGUCUGUAUCCCGGUCCAUUGAAGCAUGGGCCUACCUUGACAAUAUAUAACUUGUAAAUAUAGAUAUACAAAGUAAUUAAUAAGGAACCUAAAUAAAUAUGGUAAAUUGGUUUCUAUUAUAAUAUAGUUAGGUAAGAAUUCUGCCAUAGGGCCAAAGGUCGCCUAAAUAGCCACUUAUCCAGCCGUUUAAACUAAAAAUAACCGGCAAAUCUAUAAUUGAUGUACAAUAUUUGUAUAAUAUGCACAAUCGUGUACUACAAUUUAUGUAAAUCAGCUAGAAAAAGUAAAAAGGGAAUCCAGUUAGCUAUUUAUGUAAAGAUCUCCGCAGCCCAAUGGUCAAAUAUGCUAAACGGGGAGAAAUUCAAAAAUAGCCAGAUUUAUAAGUGGUCAUUCAAAAAUAGCCAUAGUUUCAAAAGUAAUCGAAAUAUAGCCACUUUUCAUGUAAAAAUAAAUCUGAACGAAAACACUAUUCAAAAUCCGGAAAAAUACUCAAGUAUAAUAUACUAGAACUCCAGUAUAAUAUAUCGGUCCAGCAUAAUAUACUGGAGAGUGGAGCACCGGUGCUCCAAUCUCCAGUAUAUUAUACUGGAACUUUCCGCGUGUUGGAGUUCCAUCAUAAUAUGCUAGAAGUUGGGGUGUUCAUAAAAACACGAACAACCGAACCAAACCGAAAAUCGAACCAAACCGACUAUAAAAGUAACUAUUUAAAAUUAUUAUUACACCUACAUAUAUGUAUUUUUAUAUAAAAUUUCUAAAAUUUUGUCGUACAUAUUAGUCAUUUGUAUUUUUAGUCUAGUUUUUUGCUAUUAUAAUAAUCUAAUUCUUUGCCUUUACAUUCUAGUUUGAUUGGUAGUUUUCUUUUGCAAGUACAAGAAUUUAUUUCAUGAUAAAAAUAAUUAAUUUUUAAUUGAGUACUUAAAUUAUUCAUCACUAUUUAAUUCAAUUAUCAUCAAUAUAUCUUGGUAAAUGAUAGAUUUUUCAAAGAGCAAUUGAUUUGAUAGUAUUACGUUGAAAAUGUAGUCGCCGGAAUAUGCGUUUGGUAGUGUAUGUCUCAUAUUUAAGAAAAAAACGAUAAAUCACCGAAAACGACAAAAACCGAUAAAAACCGAAUCGAUAAAAAACCGACUUAAUUGGUUUGGUUUGGUUCCAAUAUUUGAAAAAUCGACUUACUUGAUUUGAUUUCUUUUUAGGAAAAAACCGAUCUAAACCGAACCAUAAACGUCCAUGGCUAGGCAGAAGAAUAAGAAGAGAACAGCAAAUAAACUUUGGUGUCAAAAAGUAAAUAUGUAUUGCAUUAAACUGAUCUCAGCAGAGACAAGCAAAUAUAGAGAAAAAUGCUACUCCUAUACUAAUUAAGCUACAUCAAAAGGAACUGUUUAAUCCAUUAUUCUCUGCCGACGACUUAUUUGCAUGAGAAAAAAGGCACUCAAAUAAUUGAGCACUAGUUUGAUAGUGAUUUUCUUCAACUUCUUCUUCUUCUUCUUGGUCUUUUUUCCCACUUUGAUCAGCUACAGAAGCACUAAAAGAAGGAGCCACAAUCACUGAAGAAUAAACCUUUGAACUACUUCCUUGUAAUUGGAUCCUGCAGAUCUCUUCUUUAUCUUGAUCACAACCCAUAUUUUCUUGAACAAAUGCCUCUGUUUCUAUUUCAUUUUGAUAUCUAUUCCCUGCAAGUUUCUUCAUGAUUGCAAGUUUAAGAAGUUGAUAUAAUCUUGGAUUUUUUUCCAACAAACUGCAGUUUUCUUCAUUGGGUUUCAAGAUUCCUUGGUAUUUGAAAUUUGUUUUGGCAUUUCUACCACGAAGAAGACGUGCAGCAUUAUCAUAAGCCAAAGCUGCUUCUUCUGCUCUGUCAAAAGUUCCUAACCAUAGCCUGAGUUCUUGUGAAGAAUCUUUGAUUUCAGCAACCCAUCUACCUGAAGGCCUUUGUCUCACUCCAAUAAAUUUCUUUCCAUCAUUUGAGGAAAUUAACUUUGACUUUCUUUUUAUCACUUGCUUUUCUUGGAUAUUUUUGGAUGAGUUGUUUAAAGACUCAGAUGAUUGGGAUUUUGAGCUUUCCAUUCUAUACUUAGAGAGGAGAUUAAUUAGAAGUGGUUUGUUUUAUGAUUAGGAGGAUUGGGAACAGUGGUUUGUAUAUAUACUAGAAAGAAGAAAAGAGGUGUUAUAAUUAUAUGUUGAUUGUCUUUAUUGGGUAUUUUUGUAGUUUACUAUCUACAAUUAUUGACAAUUUAUGAUUACGUUGAUUAUGAAUUGGCACAACAUAAAUAAUUUUUACACUAUCAGUGUAAUUCGAAAGGUUAUAGUAAAUUAUUCCCUCCAUCUCAAAUUACACGAGGUAGUUUGAUUCGGUACGGAAUUUCAAGGNNNNNNNNNNNNNNNNNNNNNNNNNNNNNNNNNNNNNNNNNNNNNNNNNNNNNNNNNNNNNNNNNNNNNNNNNNNNNNNNNNNNNNNNNNNNNNNNNNNNNNNNNNNNNNNNNNNNNNNNNNNNNNNNNNNNNNNNNNNNNNNNNNNNNNNNNNNNNNNNNNNNNNNNNNNNNNNNNNNNNNNNNNNNNNNNNNNNNNNNNNNNNNNNNNNNNNNNNNNNNNNNNNNNNNNNNNNNNNNNNNNNNNNNNNNNNNNNNNNNNNNNNNNNNNNNNNNNNNNNNNNNNNNNNNNNNNNNNNNNNNNNNNNNNNUUUGGAUGAGUUGUUUAAAGACUCAGAUGAUUGGGAUUUUGAGCUUUCCAUUCUAUACUUAGAGAGGAGAUUAAUUAGAAGUGGUUUGUUUUAUGAUUAGGAGGAUUGGGAACAGUGGUUUGUAUAUAUACUAGAAAGAAGAAAAGAGGUGUUAUAAUUAUAUGUUGAUUGUCUUUAUUGGGUAUUUUUGUAGUUUACUAUCUACAAUUAUUGACAAUUUAUGAUUACGUUGAUUAUGAAUUGGCACAACAUAAAUAAUUUUUACACUAUCAGUGUAAUUCGAAAGGUUAUAGUAAAUUAUUCCCUCCAUCUCAAAUUACACGAGGUAGUUUGAUUCGGUACGGAAUUUAAGGAAAAAAAAGACUUUUGUGACUUAUAAAAGAUUCUCAGUACGGGUACAACAACAACAACCCAAUAUAAUCCCACUUAAUAGGGUUCGGGGAGGGUAGUGUGUACACAAACCUUACCCCUACCCUGGGGUAGAGAGGUUCUUUCCAAAUAAACCUUCGGCAUCCUUCCCUCCAAGAACUUCCCGACUUGCUCUUGGGGAAACUCGAACUCACAACCUCUUGGUUGGAAGUGGAGGUUGCUUACCAUCAGAGCAACCCCUCUUGUCUAUUCUCAGUACGGGUAAAAUGAGUAAAAUGAAGAGUUUACAAUUUAAUUAUUUCAAAAUUUAAAAAUGUGUCAUUUAUUUUGGAACAGCCUAAAAAGGAAAAUACCUCAUCUAAUUUUGAAACGUAGGAAGUACUAUUUUACAAUAACAACAACAAAAAUAGUACUAUUUUAUUUUUCAAUUAUUUCACUGAGCUUGUAAUGGAAAGCUUGUAAUGGAAAAUUACGUGUUAUUGUAGGUCGACUUACAACGAUGAUGCAAAAAAUUUAUAUUCUUAGAAACAUUGAAUGCUUACUACAAGCAAUAUUUGUCAUGGCUUGUCAUAGGAUCAAGUUUAAUGAUAAAGGUUUAGUACAACUAAUGUCCUGUAUAUAAUACUUCCAAGAGGCAACAAACAAAAUUAGCUCAUCAAAAGUCCAAAACUGAAUAGAGCUAGCUCCUCCAUGUUUUUUUCUGAAUUAGGCUUCACUCUCUUUCCUUUUUGAAAGCUGAAAAACUAAUAUUUUGGUGUUGUCACAUAGUGUAUGUCUUUGUUAGUCCCUUAGAACAAUAUGUUUUUAAUAAUCUGAUACUUCAAUUCAUCAUCUGUAUUUGAACAGAUGCUUACAUCAGAGUGCUUGGUGGAUUUGUCAUGAAUUGUUAAAAUAAGCCUCAAAUUAAAAAUAAUUUUUUGGUUGUCACGUUUAUUAUUUCCUGAAUUUAUGAUUUAGAUACUGCUACUAUCAAUCUGGUUAUUUUGUAUUAUAGUUGUAAUUAUAUAUAUGUAAGACUAAGAUGAUUGUUUUCUGGUAUGUUAACAAAACUUUUUGGGAAUAUUUAUAUCUUGUAGAAAAUAGUUGCUCAUUUUUAGUCCUUUAAUUCCUAGAAGUUGCCACAUCCAUAAUGGAUUUAUUACAAGCAAUAAUAUAUCUUAUGUUCUAUUAAAAAAGGUAGAUAGUGCAUAAAGCAUCAAUCAACCUUUGACAUAAGAAUCCAUGGUUAAUUCCACGGCUCGGAUCCGUAUUGUUCCAACCUCCCCUCCAUAUAUGUCUUAUGUUCUAUGUGUAUAUAGUUUCUUGUUAUUAGGGCUGAUUGUGUUUUCUUCUUAACUUUUGAAUUGGGCUAAACCAGUCAGUCCAAUCAAUCAAGAUCUACGUUUUAAUUUGGGUCAAUUUUGUUGGGCUCAAAUAAACGGGGCUUUAACCUAACAUAAUGGACACUGGUCCAAUGAUCAGAUGGUUGCUGAAAUAUUUGGAUAGUUGGAUGCUCGAGCUGGAAUAAUUCGGAAUUCCUUUCGGCUUUUGCACCAAGCUGGCUCAUGGCUGAAUAUAUAUGUCGUAGCCUUUUUCUGUGGAGAAGAUCGCCAAAAAAAGAAGUGAACUUUACUGAGUAGCUAAAGGUUAGGGUCUUAGAGAUUGCAAAUGGGACGGUGUGGGUGCGGGGCGGUACGGGUUUAAACACAUGCGGGGCGUAUUUAAACAUAUGCAGAUGCGGGGCGGGGCGGGGCGAAAUAAACAAAAUAAAAACUGUGCGAUUGCGGAUUUUAAAAUUUCAUUAAAAAAGGAAACUCAAUUUUAACUAAUGGAAAUUGGGUCUAAGCUAAGUAAACUUCUAACAUAAUAAAUUCGGUAUUUUCAAAUCAGUAGACUUUUGAUACAGUAAAAUAAAGCGAUUGAAUAGAAAUGUUAUGUGGAGAAAGAAUGAACAAUUCGUUUACUAGUAACCCAAAAGGAAUUACAGUAAGUCUGACACUCAACAAAAUCUGCAAUUCUUUAAAAUUAAUAAAAAGUAUGAGUAGAUCUCAUAAAUGUAUAAAAAAAUUCCAGCCAAAAGAUUAAAAUAUAAAUAAACUAACAAAAUAAAGGGGAAAAAAAGUUAAGCGGGUGCAGAGCGGGGCAGGGCAGGUAGAUGCGGGUGUGAAUGCGGAGCUGGUGAACACGAGUGCAUUUGCUAUACGAAGCGGGGCGGAUUGAAUUUUUGCGGGUUAAGAGAAAACCCGCAUUGCACCGCUUGCCAUCCCUACUAUAACUCAGUAUUCCAUUCAACACAGUGCCGAAAAAUUCUAGCAUUAAAGUUAUGUCAUAUACACUACUCCUUCGGUCCAAAAUAAGUGGCUUUUUGUCUUUUGGCGCACAUCUUAAGAAAAUAUUAUUUCCUAAAGGAAAAAAAUAUUUAGACUAAAUUACCAUUAACUAAAAUUUGCAUAUUGUUAACUCAACGCAUUGUGAUAUAUAAAUAAGGGCAAAUUUCGAAAAUAUAAAGUUAAUUGCUUCUUGAUUAUAUAAAAUGAUAUUUAUUUUGGACCAAAAUAAAAAAGUCAAAAAGUCAUACUACUUUAAGUCGUGUUUCCUCUACUUUGGCUUAUUACCUAAGGAUUCCGAAAUAGAAUGCCUAACAGGAGGAUUUCUCCGGCUGGUGCACAGGGUCAAUGUAGUUUUGUUGAAAGUUUUUUGGUUACGGUUCAACAAAACUCAUAACUUUCGAUACGGAAUAUGAAUUUAAAUAUCAAACUUAUUAAAAUAUCAAUAAAUAUUAAAUUUAAACCCAUAAUUUUAGUAGUAAUACAAUAUUUUUAAUGCUAAAAAUUUUAAAAGCUAAACCCUUUAAAUUUAAAUUUUGAAUUUAUCUAUGCUGCAAACAUAACAUUAUCGUUUGUUUCCUAGUUUUGUGGUUAACCUUGAAUCCAAAAGAAAAAGGAGAAGCGAUUGGGGGUGUGUUUGGUAUGAAGGAAAAUAUUUUUCAUGGAAAAUGUUUUCCUAGAAAAUAUUUUUCAUGAAAAAUGAGUGGUUUUAUCACUUAUUUUCCCUUGUUUGGUUGGUGAGUGGAAAAUAUUUUUCGAAAAAUAUUUUCUAGCGUUUGGUUAGAGAGUAGAAAAUAUAUUUGUAUGCUAUUCUCUUCACCGCCCCCUCCCCCUCCCCCAAGUCUCUAAAAAUCCACACAAACCCAAAGGAACUAAUGUGACGCUUUACUUUUGUUAUGCAAAAAUUACGUUAAAAUUUGUGCUCCAUAACUAAAAAAAAUACUCUUUUUUUUGUUGAAAAAGAAAGUACUCUUUCUACAACAUGAAAAUAAAGUACUCAUCUUAUUAAAAUAAAAGAAAAUACUUUUUCUACAUCAUGAAAUAAAAUACUCAUUUUGUUGAAAUGAAAAAAGAAAUACUUUUUUACAUCAUAAAAAAUACUUUUUUUAUUGAAAUAAAAAAAAUACUUUUUCUACAUGAAAAAAAAGUUUUUUUUUAUUAUUAAAAUGAAAAAAUAUUUGUUUAUAUCAUGAAAAAAAAUACUCAUUUGUUGAAAUGNNNNNNNNNNNNNNNNNNNNNNNNNUUUAGGAUUGGGGUGGGGCGGGUGGGGUUAGGGUUGGGGUAGAGUGGGGUUGGGUGGAUGAAGGUGGGGUGUGGGGGUGGGUUGGGAUAGGGCAUAGGGUGGGGAAGGUUGAGAAGGAGUUUUGGAAAAUAUUUUGGAAGAGUAGUGGGGAUACGACUGUGAUGUGGGCCAUGACAGCGAACUACAUUAGGAAGCUGCGAGAGAGGCUUUAGGGGUUACAAAGGGAUACCCUGGGAGAUGUAUAGGGGAUUGGUGGUGGAAUACGGAGGUCCAAGGUAAAGUUAAAGUUAAGAAAACGGCUUAUUUGAAACUAGUGGAGAGCACAAACUAGGAGGAAAAGAGGACGAAUUGGGAAUGUUAUAAGAAGGCAAAGAAAGAGGCAAAGUUAGCGGUUACGACAGCUAAGACUGUUGCCUUUGGAUGCAUGUAUGCGGAGCUUGGGAGCAAAGUCGGGGACAAAAAGUUGUACAGGUUAGCCAAAGUGAGGGAGAGAAAAACUUGUGACUUGGACCAAGUGAAGUGCAUCAAAGAUGAGGACGGCAUGGUAUUGAUAGAAGAUGCCCAUAUUAGACGAAGAUGGAAGACGUACUUCCACAGAUUGUUGAACAAGGAGGGGGACAGAAGCAUUGUGUUGGGUGAGUUGGAGCACUCCGAGAGUCUGCAUGAUUUUGGCUAUUGUAGAUGUAUUAAAGUCGAAGAGGUUAUGGUAGCGAUGCGUAAGAUGAGUAGGGGAAAAGCAAAUGGGCCAGGAGAUCCUGAUAGAAUUCUGGAAGAGUAUGGGCCGUGCAGGCGUGGAGUGACUUACUGAGUUGUUUAAUAUUAUCUUUAAGACGAAGAAGAUGCCCGAAGAAUGGAGGUGGAGUAUGAUGAUUCCUUUGUACAAGAACAAGGGUGAUAUACAAAGCUGCAAUAACUAUAGGGGUAUCAAGCUGCUGAGUCAUACUAUGAAAAUAUGGGAGAGGGGGUGGAAAUCAGGGUGAGAAAGAGUGUGUCUAUUUUUGAGAAUCAGUUUGGAUUUAUGCCGGGCGAUCGACUACGGAAGCCACUUAUCCGGUGAGGAGAUUGGUAGAGCAGUAUAGGGAGAGAAAGAAGGACUUGCGCAUGAUGUUUAUAGACCUAGAAAAGGCGUAUAAUAAAGUUCUAAGGGAGGUUCUGUGGAGAUGUUUGGAGGUUAGCGGCAUUCCGGUAGCUUACACUAGGGUAAUCAAGGACAUGUAUGAUGGUGCUAAGACUCGGGUGAGGACAAUGGGAAGUGACUCAGAUCACUUCCCAGUAGUGAUAGGGUUGCACCAGGGAUUGACUCUUAGCUCGUUCUUAUUUUCUCUGGUGAUGGAUGUGCUGACACGACACAUUCAAGGAGAGGUGCCAUGGUGCAUGUUAUUUGCUGAUGACAUAAUGCUGAUUAAUGAGACGAGGAGCGGGGUCAAUGCGAGGCUGGAGGUCUGGAGGUAGACCCUAGAGUCUAAAGAUUUCAAGUUGAGCAGGACCAAAACGAAAUACUUUAAGUGUAAGUUCAGUGAGGAGACUCAUGAAGCGGGCGUGGAUAUGAAGCUUGAUACCCAAGUCAUCCCGAGGAGGGAUAGUUUCAAGUAUCUCGAGUAAUCCAGGGUAACAGAGAGAUUGAUGAUGAGGUCUCCCAUCGUAUCGGUGCGGGAUGGAUGAAAUGGAGGCUCGCAUCCGAUGUUUUGUGUGAUAAAAAGGUGCCACCAAGAAUUAAGGGUAAGUUCUAUGGAAUGGUGUGUAGACCUACUAUGUUGUAUGGGGCUGAGUGUUAGCCAGUCAAAAACUCCCAUGUUUAGAGGAUGAAAGUAACGGAAAUGAGGAUGUUGAGAUGGAUGUGAGGGCACACCAUGAGAGAUAAGAUUAGGAACGAAGUUAUUCGGAAAAAAUAGGAGUGGUCCCAGUGGAGGACAAGAUGUGGGAGUUGAGGCUGAGGUGGUUCGGGCAUGUGCAGAGGGGGAGUACGGAUGCUCCUGUUAGGAGGUGUGAGAGGAUGGCCGUGGCGGGGCUGAGAAGGGGUGGAGGAAGGCCGAAGAAGUAUUGGAGAGAGGUGAUUAGGCAUGAUAUGGCGCUACUUCAGCUCACCGAGGAUAUGAUCCAGGGUAGAAGGGUGUGGAGGUCGAAGAUUAGGGUAGUUGUCUAGUAGGUAGUCGAGAGUUUCCCAUUCUUUUUUAGUAGUAUUAGUAGCUCCCUUAUUUUUUCGUUCCUGUGUAUCGUUUGUUCCAGUUUGUUACUGCUUGAUGCUAUUUUAUGUUACUAGUUUCGUUGUUGUUGUUAUUGUUGUUGUUACUAUAGUUGUCUUUCUCCCAUUUUCCUUAUGGUCUUUUGCCCACCUAUUCUUUCUUUCUUCUUCGUCUUCUUCCUUUCUCUCUUUUCACCUUUUUUGGAGUUAGGGUCUAUUGGAAACAACCUCUUUAUUUUGCUAGGUAGGAGUAAGGUCUGCUAUACACUAUCCUCCCUAGACCCCACUUGUGGGAUUAUACUGGGUAUGUUGUUGUUGAUAGGGAAAAUAUUUUUCUCAAAUUGGAGAAAAAUAAGUUCAUGAAAAAAAUAUUUUCUAAAAUAUUUAGGUCAACCAAACAUAAAUAAAUUGAAAGAUAUUUUCCUUCGUACCAAAACACACCCAGAAAGGUCUCACAAGGAAAAUUUUAUUUUAUGUCUCAUACAACUGAUACUCGUUGUAUGAGGCAACUUUUUUAUCUCACAAUUUUGUGAACCCAAAUUUCUGUAGAUUCAAAAGUGUAAGAUUGAGGUCUACAAAUUUGUAAGACAAAAAAGAACCUCAUACAACUAGUGUUAGUUGUACGAGACACGAAAUAAAACUUGCGACAAAGUGUUGUACUACUAAUCUUACGAUCCCCAGUACUACUCCAGUCCGCAUAAGCAAAAGGUAGACAGAUGUAGUACACAGUAGGAAAAGGGCCCCAUUUUUCUCUAUCUUGUAAGCCACGUGUCAUCAUGGUUAUGGCCUCAUCAGAAUUUUGUAAUACCACGUCGGAUUAUAAGGACCAAGGAACACGAAAAAUAAAUUCAGCCGUUGAGUUGGUUUCUCAAUUUCUCAUCACACAUUAGCUAUCAUUGAUACAAACCUUUAUUAUACCACAAAACAGAGGCCAUAAACACAACCAACUUUCAUUGGAGGGACAGACUCAGGCAAGCGGUGGCAAGAGGCUGAAAGGCAAUGGCACUAAGAGCUUCAGCCACCGUAAAAUCACCUCUUCCUCCGCCUUCUUCUUCUUCCUCUUCUACACCUACGAAAAUCUUUAAUUUCCCUACACUCUCCCAGAAACCGGAAUUCACUUCAAAAUCUGUGUCAGUAUCACUGUCUACUUCAACGGCUCUUUUCCUCUUUCCUCUCUUCACUGCUACCCAUGAAGCCAGAGCACUCAGCUUACCCAAGGAAGAUAUUGUCUCUUCCCUUAAUCAGGUACCGCUUACUAAUUUUCCCUCAAUUGAGUUAACUCUUUACAUUUUCUUGGAUGUUUUUUAAAAGCCAUUUAUUUAAUGGCAAUUCUGCUAGGUAUAGUUUUUUUUUUGCUUUCGCCCUUGUAUUUAAUGACAAUUCUUGUUUCACAUCCUUGGUUGCUUUAGCUCUUCUAGAAAUUGUUUUAUCGAAUAACACUUGAAGCUUUAUUUAUUUAUUUAUUUUGUGGUUCUAGCCGCAUUUCCUGUUGAUUUUCGUUGUUAAAUUUACUAUUCCUGAUAGUUUUAAAGUUAGAAUUUUUGUGACAAUAUUUUGCUCGGAUAAUUAUGAUUCUACAUGCUGUGUAUUAAAUGGCAGAGGACUGCAGGUCCAUAAAUUUAUGUUCUGUGUUUGUGGUUUGUGAAAAAAUUUAGUUCUUAGCAAUUUAUCGGAAGCUUCCUCUUUACAGGUAGAAUCUGCAGUUAAUCAAGCUCAACAGGUUGGUUCGAACAUCUUUGAUGCUGCAAGCCGAGUGAUUGGGCCCAUAAUUGAAUUUGUGAAGCCCGGGGUUGAUGUGGCAUUGCCUUUAGUAAAGCAGGCAGGAGAAGAAAUUUUAAAGAAUGCUUCUCCUGUCAUAUCUGAUGCCACUAAGAAAGCCCAAGAGGCAAUGCAGAGCGCUGGCAUGGACACUCAGCCAGUGAUGACUGCAGCUAAGGUUUGGCUAUAGGAAGUUCUUGUUUCACAUGCUUCAAUUAGUCAGUAAAAUUCAUCUGUGCUUUGUGAAUAAAUUGCCACUUUGCCAGCCAUCUGUACAUUGCCUUUUGACCAGUGAAAUUUUCUUGUAAGAAGUAAUAAUCAUGCAAGUCAUAUGUGAGAGGAAAAGUAUCUUGGUGGAUAGGUAGACGAGCGUUUCUCUUUGUCUUACUCAGUUCACUAGCAUUAGUGUUAGUAUGAUAUCUUUUAUUCAUAGAUGGUUAUUACUACCUAGAGUUUGACUGCAUUCUUGGAUUCGUUCUUAUUUCAUCUUGCUGUUAUUCCUACUUGUUGCAAUUACCUUUUCUUUUUCAGUCGUUCUCUAGCCGAGGGUUUAUCGGAAACAACCUCUCUGCCCUUCUAGGGGUAGGGGUAAGGCUGCGCAUAUCUUACCCUCCCCAGACUCCACUCGUAGGAAACUACUGGGUUUGUUGUUGUUGUUGUUGAAGCGAUAAUCAUGUAAGUCAUAUGUGGGAGGAAAAAUAUCUUGGUGGAUAAAGGUGAAGGUACUAGCACUGGAUAUAGAACAAAAUAGUAUUCAAUGCUUUAUUCUUCUUUAAUCCAUUUCUGGACAUGAAAAUGAUAUUCUUGGACUUUGCCAUGUCGUUAUAUUUUGGGUUUCAUCUUUCCUUACUCAACUUUAAGAGAUAAAUGAUUGUUUGGUUGCAGACAGUUGUUGAUGCAGCUCAACAGACAUCCAAGGUGAUCGAAGGGGCCAAACCAAUCGCCUCAUCCACAGUUGAAACAAUUUCAUCAGCUGAUCCAGCUAUUAUUGCAGUGGCCGGUGGCUCAUUAUUCCUGGCAUAUCUUCUACUUCCCCCAGUUUUCUCCGCUCUCUCUUUCAGCCUUCGUGGUUACAAGGGUAAUUGGAUGGGUUUUCUUACUCUUGUUUAUCUCCCCGAAUUUAUGUCGCUUUAGACCACUGAGAUAUACAACUGAGAAUAGAUGUAGUACUCCGGAGGGAUCUCCUAAAGUACAUAAGCAUAAUAAUAGUUCUAAGAAUAAUAUUUAGGAGUGUUAGAUUAUGGGACUUCUAGAUGAACUCGGUCCCAAGAACCAAUGCCUGCUACUAUCUGUGAGAAACGUAAUAUUCAUUUUCAAUCAUGUGGUUAUUGGUCAUGCAUUUAAAAUCAAUCUGCUUUAGAAUAUCGUAAAUUACAUUCGACCAGAAUGAGAAAACAAGUAACUAGACUAAGAUGACAGUAUGCAAGUAAUAGUUUUAAAAAUUCAAUGCUGCUUGUUUCCUGCAUUUCUAAUGGUGGUACAGUGUGAGUGCUAUUUCACAUAAACUAAACAAGGCUUUUUCAAAAGUUUUUGCCACCAACCUCCCCAUCCCCACAAGAAAAUUAAAAUUAAAAGAAAAAAAGGUAAUGCAAAAAUAUAAGACCAUGACUAACUUUGGCUUGGUUGGAUGGAUUAUCCAAUUCCUUCUUGCUACCAAUAAAUGUCUCCCAAGUAGCUGAAAUAGUGAAAUUUGUCAUCGUCAUGAGGGGAGGUGCCUUCACAAUCCAUUUUAUUAUCAGUGUCUUGAUAUCAAGUAAUCACAUUGUAGCUGUCUUGCCAUUUUGAGAUUUCCUAUUAUUUUUGGGAGUUGAGAAGCUUGGCAUUUCACAACAACUAAACUUGGCUUUUUUCUGUAAAGCAAAGUAAGUCCAUAUGUAAUCAGUCGAGAACCAGCGUUCAUUUAGUUAUUAACUUCUGCAACAUCAAAUAAUGGUGUCCUGAGUGACUGAAAUUGUUAUCAUACUGGAAAUUGCCUUCACAAUUUGCUUUAAUAGCAUUAUCUUGAAUCCAAGUUUGUUGCUUAUAGUUUUGUUAAACAAUUUUCGUUUUCCUGUUAAUUUUGGGACUAAAGAAACUUGAUUUGGAAUGACAUUUCCAGGUGAACUAACUCCUGCUCAAACACUGGACCAGAUGUGUUCUAAGAAUUAUGUCUUGAUUGAUAUUAGAACAGAGAAGGACAAGGAUAAGGCUGGAAUUCCUCGUCUUCCAUCUAGUGCUAAAAACAAUAUGAUUCAAAUCCCGUAAGUUGGCUUGAAAUUAACAUUCUUGCUAAAUGAACCAUGCUCUAUCUUUACAAGCAUCAUGUUGUAUUUCCACCACCAUUCUAGUGUUCCAAAUUGUAGGAAAUUUAGGAUGCUUCUCAUUCUAUCUCAGAAACAAGCUUAUCAAGAUAAAUACCUUAGAAUGGCAUGCAUAAAGACUAAAAGAAGCCUAUUAUGUUACUUGUCUGAAGGUUAAGAAGGUUCUCUUAAUUUCUUGAGAAUUCUCCAUCAGAAGCAUUUAAAGGAAAAAGAAAAUAGCAUUAGAUUUUGUUGGGGGGGUAUUAAAAUAUGUAUGAUCAUUGACUAGGCCUUCAUUUUCUGUUUCCUCGCUACACUCUCCUUUACCAGUUGGGAAAAAGAGGGUGGGGGUGGGGUGGGGGAGGAAUUGACAAAAGAAGGUAGUAAUACCUGGAGAUGAAUUGACUUUAUGUACUAGUGAGAAGUUAACCAGGUCUAGGAUACUUGCUUUCACCUUGUUUUUAUGUUGUACAUGCAAUCAUUUAACUCUGACAAGGUAUUGAGGAAAAAACUUCCUAGGGAAGAUGUGGAAAUUUUUUUGAGAUAAAGUUUGUUUAGACUUAUGGAUUUGUUCUCCUGGUACAUUUCAGUUUGGAAGAUUUACCGAGCAAACUAAGGAGUCUCGUGAGAAAUGCGAAGAAAGUGGAAGCUGAGUUAGUAGCUCUGAAGAUAUCAUACCUCAAGAAAAUCAACAAAGGGUCUAACAUUGUGAUAAUGGACUCGUGAGUUUUUCUCAUAAUAAACUCGAGCACCACACUUAAUUCUCUUAUGCUCUUAUACUCUAUGUGCACCUAUGUAUAAUUUUAGUUAUCAAUGAUAUAUUAUUAAAACUUUUCAGGUACUCUGAUUCAGCUAAAACAGUUGCUAAAACACUGACGAGCCUUGGCUUUAAGAACUGCUGGAUCAUGACUGAUGGCUUCUCCGGAGGGAGGGGUUGGUUGCAGAGUCGGCUGGGAACAGAUUCUUAUAACUUUUCGUUUGCCCAAGUCUUAUCACCAUCAAGAGUCAUACCAGCAGCAGCUAGACGUUUUGGUACAACAGGCACCGUCAGAUUGCUUUCAGGGGAUAGUGAUUAAUUAGUUUCCCCUUGUAAUGACCAACAAAUGGCCAUAGUAUAGUUUUGGAUUCUUUAAGAUAGCCUGGUGUAAUUCUUUGAUCAGUUCUAAUGAACUAUCCUUUGCCUCAAUUCUUCACUUUGUUUUAGCAUGUGACUGCAUGUUUUCAGAUUUUGAUUCUACAUCCAACGUAAGUGCUAAUGGCACAUUGAGCAAGGUUCAGCUUAAGAGGUUCCAUCCCUUCACUUUGUUUUGGAUUUAAGUUUUUCCAAGUUCAAGCUCUUGAUUUUGCAGUAAUCGUCAAAGCAAUUCUUGCAUCACCUUCAUUAAUUUGGGCAUAAUUCAAAUCACAAAAUAUGAAGCAGGCAUUUGAACAAUAUUUUAUUAAAAGUCAAGAAAAGAAUAUUCCCAGUUGAAAUUAAACAAAAAUAUAUUUGAAAGUUGGGCGAUUGUGUUUGGACAUCAAAUUUAGUUGAAAAAUAGUUUGUGAAAUUUUAUUUGUGUGGGGAAAACAUCAUGUUGCUUGAAAUAUUCUCUAAACUAAUAUUUUAACAUUUCACCAGGAUUUUUAAAUAUUCUCAUUCGAAAUUGCUGACAGCUACACCAAUAUUUAUAAACUGUAAAUAUUGAAGUUCUUUAUUAUAAAUACGUAAAUAUUAUUUGAGGCCCUGGCAAAUUGUUUGGUCUGGUAAAAUAUUUUCUAAAAAGAUAAGUUUGUUAGAAAUUCAAUGUAUGUGGAUGUCCCUUCCAAUGUACGUGGAUGUUCUUUCCGUAACUGUCUUUGGGAAUUCAUACACCAAAUGAAUGAGUUCAUUAAUACAUGUAAUUUGAGAAGACAUUUUGUAACCUAUAAAUAGAAUGUUAUUCUCCUGUGGAAAACACAUAAGAAACACACUUAAAUACGAUAACUUCUAUAUUCUCCUCCUAUAUACAUCUUGUCUCCAUUAUUCUAUUUUGCUCUCAUUUCUUAAUACGUUAUCAGCACAAAGUUCUAACCAACUGAGAUUAUCUGCUUCAUUCGAAUUUUAUCUUCUUCCAAAAAGAGGUAGUUAAUUUCUUUUCCGGUCCGGAUAUACAUUCUUAUGUUUAUAACGUUUCUAUUAGGAUCUUCUUUAACGUAUAAUUUAGUUACCAUAUGCAUAACAUGUUUUGAAUAUGAUUAUAAUAAUUGCCUUGGUACGAAAACAAUAAGCUUCGGUUAAAUUGUUAUUUUAUUAUAUAAUCUACGAAGAAGUUUAAACCUACACAUAAAUAGAUAAGUAUUAAAUUGAAUUAUAAUGAUUAGACAAAUUAAUCCCACAUCCAAAUGUUAUGACGGAAUGGUCACGUAGAAGGAAUUCUUGCAAAAAUUUCAAAAGGUUUAAACGUAUAUUCAAUGAAUUUAUCACCUAAGUAUACAAACUAAUUGAUGACUUUAGAAUUAAUGACUUAACUAUUAGAUGAAUCGUAUUCAAUAUUGAAACUUGGCAGAAUUGAUAUCAUCUAGUUUUAUGCCUACUUAACUUAUUGAAAUGUCUUCUAAGUAGAACAAAUAUACUAGUACCUAUUAAUGAGAUUACUUCAACUUAUUUAUUCUCUGAAAAUAUACUUACAUGUCUAAAGUUCUUAUGUGUAAUAUUGAGCACUAAUUCAUCAUCGCACUACACAUAAUUAUUUGUUCUAACAAUUAUAUAGAGAAUGUUAAUACACGACUAUAUUCUGCAGUGAUUUUAUUUUUCUUUCAUUGAUAACAAUUCUUAUCAUUCUAAUUCACUUAUUUUCUAUGAUAGUUUUCACUAUGUCAAAUUUGUCAAAACUUGAAUUUGUGGUACUUGACAUCUCUGGGAAUAACUAUAUGUCAUGGGUACUUGAUGCUGAAAUUCACCUUGACGCUAACGGUCUUGGUGACACUAUUAAAGAAGGAAAUAAAACAACAAGUCAGGAUAAGGCAAAAGCCAUGAUUUUCCUUGGCCAUUAUCUCGAUGAAGGGUUAAAAAGUGGAUAUUUAACCUUGAAAGAUCCAUUUCAAUUAUACUUUGAAGGAACGAUAUGUGUUGCUCCCUAACGCAUACGCAAGUAUACGUCGUCAACAAGUAAUAUAGGAUUGUUAGUCCAGAUAUCGUACCCACAGGGACUUGUGAUUAACUAUUAACAAAAUUAAAACAAACAAUUAAUCUAUUCAAGCGAAUCCUAACGUAUGAAUAUUUAACUAAAAUUAAUCUAAAGCAACAAAUUAAGAGAUUAAAGAAAACAAGUUGUUGAAUUAUAAAGACGAAUUCAAUGUGAGUAAAUAUUCUAGAGCUAUGGGUUAGCUAGCAAUCCCGUUGAGUUUUCCACUUAAAUCGUCUAAUUAAUUUAUCUGGUUUAUUGGUUGAUACGGUUAAUAUUGCUCGUAGCCUUUUCCCGAAGUACAACUCGCAUAUUCAAGCUAAUCUAACGCCUAUAUUCCUAUGGAAUUAGAAUUAACAAGAACGCAUUAAUAAUUCAUGUAUAGUAACCAAACAAGGCGAUUAGGUAUAUUUCUAUCCUAACCGCAAAUCUACCCCCUCCCCCCUCAAAAUUAAGAUCUUGCUCUACUCAAUCUUAUAUGCAAUCUAGAAUUCCCUCUCCCGAGUUUAAUCCUAGAUUCGUAGAUAGUAUUCAAUUGGUGAUCAAGCAAUCAAAUAAUUAAGCGCAAGAUUGAAUAAAUAAACCAAUAUAAUAAAAUAAUAAAAAUAAUUCAAGCUUCAAACUACAACGUUCAUGUAGCACCCAAAAUUCUAGAACUAAUGAACUAUGAAAUUAAAGGAAGAGAAGAGAAGAAAAACUAGUUAAAACCCUCCUCCAAGCGUGGUGUGUGUUCCAAAACGUAAAUUCUCCUUCAAAGUAUGUUAGAUCUCCUCCAAAUUAGGUUUAGGCCCCCUUUUAUACGAGUUGCAAUCGUGUAGGAUCGAAAUAACCUUAUCCAGAACGAAGAAAGAAAAGUCCGUACCCAGCGUCCAGGGCCAGCGCCUGAUCAUCGUGCAAAAUAUACAAGUCACAAACAAACAACAAACUUCUAACCUCCUAACCUCAGAGAGGGACUUUAUCUUAUCAAAUUUAAGCUUGCUCACCUACUCUGUCAAAGAAGCUAAUAACAUCACAUAUCUAUCAUGAAACACGUGCUCUCACAAGAAUAAAUAGUCUAUACACUCAAAUCAAAGAAUGGAUAUAAUUUAAGGACUUAUCAUCAAAUAACAACUCUCGCACUCACAAAUAAAUUCACAUGUAUGCACAAAGAACCAUAGGCUUGCCCAUUAUGUACAUCUCUACUAAUUAAGUAUGGUCGAAUAGAAUCAAAUAAGACUUUAACGGGUUGUAAUGUUGGCUAAGGGACAAGUAGGAGAACAUAUAAUAGUGACUUAUACUUCCCUAAGCACUUUGCAUUUUUAGACUUCAUCACCCAUUAUUUUCAUAUUUUCACUUUUAUUUUUCAACCCUCUCUUCAACAAUUAUUUCACAAGUAUUUCCCUCAUAUCAAGAACGUUUCAUUUUUUUCAAAGAAAUUUUUCAUUCUAUUUUUUUUUAUCAUGUCAUAUUCUUUUCAAGAGUGUCUUUUCAUUAUUUUUCAACCAUCAUUGGUCACCAUUUUUCACUUAACCAUCCCAUUCUUCAAAUUUAUCAAUUAAUAUCACAGUCUAAGCAAUAGUGCUCAAGAAAGCAGGGUGCAAAAACUAGAGAUUCAACAAAAGGAUCAAGGCAAAAAUAUGCUUCCAAACAAAAGGCUACAGGCUCAAAGGGCUAACUGGUGGUACAAUAUCUGAAAAGGCUAAAUUUCACAAGACAUAUCAAAGAAAGUCUAUUAUCAUCCUCUAAACAGAGCAACACUUUUAUUUCGCUUCAAUAACAUGCAGGGCAAGUUCUAAGCUAAGAUGCAAAAUAUGGAAUAUAUGUAAGAAAUCCUCACCUCACAUGGCACAAGUAUCAAUCAAGAUGGAUCAAUUCUACUCUGAGACACACGGGAUCAUAGCGAACAACAAAAUAAGAAUAAGUUAUAUACAGAAUCACAACCAUGAGCUUAGGUGUCAGAAAGUCUGCUAUUUUAUUCAUUACUCAAGCACACAAACGAAAGUACUACUCAAGCUUAGGCCUACAUAUGCUAGUAUCAAACAACUUUCUUCUCCAUCAUUUACUACUCCAAAAAAAAUCUAAUCCUAAAAAUAAAAAAAAAUUACCCAGUUUAGGUUACAUCCCCUGGAAAAGAACCGAUGCAAAAAAAAAACAAGGGGGAUCAUUAUCUAACUAAAACUAACUAGAAAUAAAAAUAAAAUAUUAUUGAAUUUUUUUAUUAGACCUUAAUCCCUCAAGAAAGUCGUCCACAAAAUUCAUCAUCGGGAAAAGUCCAAAUUUUUUGAUUUUUUUUCUCAUUUUUCUUUCUUUUCUAUUUUUUAACAAAAACUAAUAUUACACUAAGAACUAGUACUACAACUAAGCUAAGUUAGCACAGAAAAUUACCCAGACAAUCUCCUCACCCCACACUUAAAAUUGUGCAAUGUCCUCAAUGCACACUGAAAAUAACAAGAGGGUAAAAGAGAUUCCCUGGUAGGCCAAAGGCCGAAGAAUUAGCAGCUCACGGGAUACUCAGACUUCUCCCAGGUAUGAUCCCUUGUGCGGGUACCUCACACUUAGUUUCAACCAUCUGCUCGAUUUUUCACAUGCCUAUUGGCUUUGACUCCAUGCCCCUCUUCCUACAAAACACAAAAACAACAAUACAAAAAAAAAUAACACAAUUAAAAAAAAAAGAAUAGAAUUGGGUUGCCUCCCAAUCACCUGAUUUAACGUCGCGGUACGACGCCAUACUUUCACCACUUUUUCUUCCACUUUGAAGAUAUGAGUUGCGCCCCCAAUUUUGCAUCAAUUUUUCUGUCACAUUCCUAGGGCGAUGGUGUAAAUACAAAAGAACCAAGUAAAUAACAUCGCAUCUUGCACCUCUUGGCCCUUAAGUGAGGUAUGUCGUUUUGCCUUUUUGGUGUGGCAAAUUUCAGUAUGUAAGGGUUUUGUUCUUCAUCUAUACAUCUCUCCAAAAGUUCGAUCUUCAUGUCUUCAUCCAAACAUAAUGUAGAAAAAUGUGUAGAAUGAGGACCAAUACGCCCCAACUCUAAAACUGCAUUAUUUUUGAUAUCCUCAGUAAUACGUACUCCCUCAACCCCGGCAUUAUCAACAAAAACAUGGUCUAGUGAUUGAUAUUCUCAUUUUAGCUCCUCAAUUUGGCCUAGAAAAUCUUUUUCGGCUUCAUACAAUUCAUUAUUAAAUUGCUGGGUGUUACACGCAUCAAUCUUUGCACUCAAAUCUGCAUCCAAGUCACGAAUAGAACUGCCAAAUUGGUCGAUCUCUUGUACCAAUACAUCUCUUCCUUCUAUAAAGUGUUGCCUCCCAUUUGUAAUUUUCUCACGAAAACCUCCAUAUUCUUCUAAUAAUUUUCUGUGCAUAUCAAGAAUGCGAACAUCGUGUUCCCCAUUAUCCAAUUUGUUCCUGUCAAACUCACAGGAAUUAUUAGAAUCAACAUAAGAAGGGAUUGAAGUAGGAUAACAAUAUUUAGGACAAUUAUUCCAUCUACCAUCACAAAUAGUACAGGAUGGAGAUGGUGCACACAACUCGGCACUAGGAAUAUUUUUACAAAUUGCCACAAGUGGAAUCCUUUACAAUAUGGACAAGGAUCACAAAAAUAAGAAUACUUACUAUCCCACCACUUUUCGUUCAAAGAUGCUAUAUAAAAAAAACAUAAUACCAACUACACUAAACUAAAAUUAAAAACUUAAAUAGAUAAAAAGUAAAAAUCUAAUCUAGUAAAAUAGUUAAUUUCUAAGUCCUGGGUAACAGCGCCAAAAACUUAUUUUUGCCAAAUGCACACGCAAGUAUACUUGUGUCAUGACCCAAAAAUCCCUCCGAAGGAGUCGUGAUGGCAUCUAGUCUCUAAACUAGGUAAGCCUAACAUAAACUGAAAUAAUAUUGAUAGUUACUAACUUUAAAUUAAAUUACUCUGAAUAAAUUACAAUUCCCAAAAUCGGUGGUACAAGAUUAAAAGUAGUUAUACAAAAUAAAUACCUCACUACUCCGAAACAAAAGGAACAAAUGGAAAUAAGUACAAAUGAAGGUGACUCUGAGGCCUGCGAACGCUGAAGCAAGUUUACCUUGAGUCUCCAUCGCAACGACCCGCACAGCUACUACCGUUCAAAUACCUGGAUCUGUACAAAAAAAUGUACAGAAGUGUAGUAUGAGCACACCACAGCUGUGCCCAGUAAGUAUCAAGACUAACCUCAGUGGGGUAGUGACGAGGAACAGUUCAGACACCUACUGGUCAAAUAAAUUAAACAGGAUUUGAUAAUAAUCUAUCAACCUAGAAAUGACAUAGUAAUAUCAACAACAUGGAAAAAACAAACUACAAUCAGUAGAAAUAAUAAAGAGAAACACGAGUGGAAACGAAAGAUAACCAUAUAAAUUAACACCAACAUAGCUGGAACAUAGACAAGUAAAAAUGUACUCAACAAGGAAGGCGAUGUCAGCUCAAUAAAUCAUAUCGUUUCUGAUGCACAAUUUCCAGCCAUCUCAAACUCGAUGUCUCAUAUCAUAACCUCAAUUACCAAACUUUUAGCACAACCCGGCACCUUGUGCCCACAUAUUUCUAUCUCACUUUACACAAUAACGUUCUCUUGUUACUCAGUUCAUAGGGUUCAUAACUAAUGCAAUUAAGAUGUUCAAGGAGUUUAAUUUACAUAACAUAAAGUAGAGUAUAACUUCUAAACCAAUUAGGAACCCAGAAGAAAAGAUGAAGUUAUUUUUAGAAAUCAUUUGAAUAAAGAAAGUACCAUUUUCAAUUAAAUACAACAUCGAAUGAAUUAUUGCCUUUAACAAGGAAUUUAAUAAAUUAACUUAGUAGAAAUUUCAUUUUUAAGUAAAAUACAACUUCAGACGGUUUAAGAAAAUUUAAUUGAGUAACUAAAUGAAUUGAAGAUGAAACAAUUACUGAAAUUUUAAAGUAUUGAAAAAUAUGUAUAUAAAUACGGCGAAGUAUUGAAAACACGAUGGGGUUCCUUCACAAAGGAUCACAACGGUAAAGGAAUCUGAACAGUUAAAACACUUGAAUUGGUAACAACAAAUAAGCAUAGCAAACAGAAAGUGCACGACAUCACCCUUCGUGCUUUUACUCUCGUUCUCACAAUAAGAAUCAAUAUUCACUUUUAUUCUUUCUUGUUGCAGGCGUGCAACCCGAUCCCAUUUCAAAUAUUACCGUGGCGGCGUGCCACUCGAUCCCAUUUCAUAUAUCACCAUGGCGGCAUGUCACCCGUUCCUAUUUCAUAUAUCUUGUUGCAGGUGUGCAACCUGCUCCCAUUUCAAAUAUCACUGUGGCGGUGUGCCACCCGAUCCCAUUUACAAAUCAACAUCAAUCAUAAAAGAAUCCCGAAAAGGGAACAAGAGUAUAACAACAAUGUCCCGGCAAGGGAGACAAGAUUGUAAACAACAACAUCCCGGCAAGGGAACAAUAGUAUAACAACAAUAUCCCGGCAAGGGAAACAAUAUCAUAAGCAAUAACAUCUCGGCAAGGGAACAAUAGUAUAACAACAAUAUCCCGGCAAGGAAAAUAAUAUCAUAAGCAAUAACGUCCCGGAAAGGGAAUAAACAAGUACAUAAUAAGGGUCACGGAAAAACCAAGAAGCACAAUAAUCUCAACAAAACAACAAGCCAUAAUAAGAAUGUGAUGACUACACCGGUAACCAUAACAAAUUGGACAUGUAACAUAUUUGCACGAAGUCAUAGAGUAACUCACAAUCAAGAAGUAUCAAAACAAUAAGGAAUGCAAUCAUUUCAAUUAAGGCAAUUACGGGUCAAUUGUCAAGGUAACACCUAAGAAUUAAAGGAAAGCUAACAACGUCAUAUGGAGCAUAUAGAAGCAAUUUAAGCAAUUAGGAAACUCAAUCAUAACAGGAUACUUUUCACAUAAGGACCUAAGAACCCUAAAGGCAAAUUUCCCCCAAAUAAGUCCGAGCACACACUCGUCACCUCGCAUGCAUGGAUUACAAUUAGCAUAGAAGACUCAAUUCUUAAGGGGAAGUCCCCCACACAAGGUUAGGCAAGAUACUUACCUCAAUCCGGCCAAUUCAAUAAUCAAUUUAGCUUUUCCUUUACCAAUUCAUCAAUGUUCGGCUCAAUCUAGUCAAAAACGACUUGAAUACAUCUAACAAUGCAAGAGAAAAUAAUUCCAAUUAACAAAACUAUAAUUUUUAUACAAUUUGCAAAAAGUCAACAAAAGUCAACUCCCCGGGCCUGAACCUCGGAACCCGACAAAAUUUACAAAAAUCGAAUACCUAUUCUGAUACGAGUUCACCCAUACAAAAAUUAUCCAAUUCUGAUAUCAUUUGGUCUUUCAAAUCAUCAUUUUAUAUUUUUGAAAGAUUUCACAAUUUUUCCCAAAUUCAAUCCCAAAUCACAAAUCAAAUGAUAAAUUCAAUGAUAGAUUCAUGUAUUCUCGCCAAAUCCGAGUUAGAAUCACUUACCCCAAUGAAUUUCUUGAAAAACCUUUCAAAAAAUCGCCAAGAUCCGAGCUCUCUAGGUCAAAAUAUGAAAUAAAACCCUAAACCUCGUAUUUAUAGUGCACCUCCGAGAUUUCCAUCACUGCUGACCGCAAAAAAAAACCAACGCUGACCGCGGUCCAUCACCGCUAACCGCGGAGAACUUUGACUACAGUGACAUGCUUUAGUAUUUUGGCCAUAACUUUCUCUACAUAUGUCCAAAUUAUGAUUUCUUUAUCUUUCUGAAAACUAGACACGAAGGGUUACAAUUUUCGUUGUUGAAUCAUCUCAAAAUUCCUUAUAGAUCAAAUGAUAUAAGCUUCCGAAAUCGGACAAGUGAUCCUGCAGAACAUCUUGAUGCGCGGCCGCACACGAAAUUAUGCGGUCCGCACUGUGGUCCACGAAAUUUUAGUACAGUCCGCACUCUCCUCUGCGGUCCGCAUAUAUUUGGUGCAGUCCACACUCCCAAAAGUGCCAGAACCAUCUCAGAGUACCAAAAUGCCCGGACUCGCUCAAAAUUCACCACGAAAUACACCCGAGGCCCCAGGAACCUCAACCAAAUGUACCAAAACAUUCCAUAACAUCAUACGAACUUAGCCCCACUUUCAAAUCACUUCAUACAUCGCUAAGACCAUGAAUUAGAUGCCCAAACACAUGAAAAUCACUAUGAACUUCAAGAAACUCUAAAAUUGCAACCAAGCGUCCGAACCAUAUCUAAUCAACUCCAAACGACGCCAAAUUUUACAGGCAAGUCCCAAAUGACAUAACGGAGAUGAUCCAACUUUCGGAAGUAUAUUCCGACCUCGAUAACAUAAAAGUCAACUAUGGGUCAAACCUCUCCAUUUUCUAAACUUCAACUUUUCCAACUUUCACCAAAAUGCCUCAAAUUACCCUACGAGCCUCCAAACCCAAAUCCGAACACAUGCCCAAGUCCAAAAUUAGCAUACGAAGCUACUGACAUCAUCCAAAACUCAUUCCGGAUCCGUUUACUCAAAAGUCAAAUUCCAGUCAAAUUCUCUCCGCUUAAGCUUCCAGGACUAUAUUCCUUCUUUCCAAUUCGACUUCGAUUCAUCCGAAAACUGAAUCCAACCCUACACACAAGUAGAUAUACAUAAUGUGAAGUUGCUCUUGAACUCAAACUGCCGAACUGAAUGCAAUUGUUCAAAAUGACCAGUCGGGUCGUUACAUUCUCCUCCACUUAAACAUAUGUUUGUCCUCGAAUGUGCCCGGAGUCGUUCCAAAGCCAUUGAACCACUACAUGAGCUCCUCAUACAUACACUCGUGGGUGUUUCCCUAUCACCCAACCUAUGCAGAACUGACAAUGCCACUUAACUGAAGGUCCCAUCUCCUCCUUAGUCCAUAACCUUAGAACAAAACCCAAACCUCGUCAUCUGAAAUUUGUCAUAGAACCCAAAUUCCACAUCAUCACACUGAUUACACCCGAACAAGACGAAUCGAGCCAAAAAUUCCAACCCAAAAUACAAUCACAUGUUGAUCCACGCAUCUCAAAUACUCGAAGCAAUAACCUCUGACCACCAUAGCUGCUCAAAUAACACUAUGGAUGCCGACAAUACACUUCACAUUGAAUACAACCUUGUUCCGGACUUCCACAACACUGCCCAUGAUAAAGAAACAUGCGGAAACUCAUAGCCGCUCAUGAAGCCAACAAGUCAAGAAACUCUCUCGCCUGCCAAUGGCCAUUAACCAACUCUUAGCAAGAACAACCACAUACUCCCAAACACUCCUCACCCCCAAUUCCAUAGUUCAAACCUCAGAUCUAAAAACCUCAUCUCAGCCAAUACAAGAAACUCAACUAACAGUUCAUCACAAAACCACACGGAUUCUCAAACUACACAGUUUGUACACCAGCCUAACAAUGACUCAAUUAUGCAGCACAAAUAAAGGAAAUCAAAGUAUAAGAAUUAUCUAACAAGUACAACACGUGUAACAACAAAAGUAUAAUUAAUUAAAUUUUUUUCAUCAAAUCGCCCCACAGAGGGAAAACACAACACCAGAUAAACACAAGGAAAGGGUAUCCCUCAUAACAUCCGUUGCGGCGUGCAGCACGCUCCCAAAUACUCAUAAAGUCAAAAUGAUCGAGUUCAUUGAACAUAUGAAUACUGAUAUCAAGCACUGCAGAGUGCACAUGUAAAACUAUGGGGACAAUGAAUAAAAGUAAUAAAAUGGGAGAGAAGCAAGCACACAUAAGGUGCUAUGAACAAAUCAACCUCACGAGGGCUAUCUCGCCCGCAUCGCCAUAAGACCUGAAUGAAAUCACAACAUGCGUGGGGGAUAAUCAUGCACCUCACCGCCUAGCACAUCACAAAAGAGUAGCACAUAACAUAGGCUAAGGGCGCAAAUAAUAUCCAUUUUGCCUGAUAGCAUAACCAAAACGGAAACCUCACAGGAGCACACAAACUUGAUCUGAUACAAAACACAUAUUCUCAUUGAGCUUUCAAAUAGUCCUAACCAAAUUCUGAUCCUUCCCAAUUAGAUAAGUAUGCUUCAAAAAGAUCCACAACAACUUAUCGAUAACACAUGCUAUUAAUUAUUCCAUUCUCGACAUUUCUUCAAGAUCCGUAACCAGGAAAUAGUCCAUUCAUGAGGGCAUCUAGCCCCAAACCUCAGGAAUACCGAAAUUUCCAUACCCAACUCCACUACGCAAAUCAAAUGGCUAAUAUAUCACUCACACCUUAUUAUUCUGCUGAAGCACCUAUAUAGGAUUUCUGGCCGCGUAUCAAAACAUGAACCCUGAAAGCCUCAAAAUCCAGUAAUCACCAUGCUGCUAGCCACGCACCCGCAAACAAAAACUCAAGGUCCCUUCCAAAAAUGCACACCCUUCACAUAUGAUAUUCAACAAGGUCAAAACUAUAUUAAUUUCUUAUAUAUAUUCAGUAGAAAGUCAUAGUACCACAUAUUCCUUACGCCUAUAGUAGACAACCAACUCAAGCCUUUGUCGAACCAUCGAGAACCCUCCGAGGUCUGCCCGCACGCAACUAAGCCAUCAGGAUUGCACCUCCCCAACUCAACCGAGUCACGCAGACCGUCCAAUCUAAGAGUGCUGCCACAAAUGCCAGUAGAGAAUUCCCAUUCAAAAUGACCAAUUACUUCCAUUGCCAUACUGACCCCAUCACUAACGAACUAAACCAUUUCUUCGGAUAGUCGAUAAGCAAUAUCCCCCAUCAAAGCCCCAAUAUCAUCCCUAGAAAGAUCUCAGUCUUUAGUUAUAUACAAAUUUCGGAAACCUUCCAAUACCAAUUAUAUACAUACCUCAAGCCAAAACUGAUGUAAAUCUGACUCUACAAUCUGAACACCGCUAGUGGACUCCUCCACUUAGCGCGAAGCCAUAGAAAAAAACAUUUGAUGAUCUGCAAAACUAACUUUCGCAGCUCGCACAACACCAAUCACAAGGUACCCCAAUACCACCAGUCGUCCUCAAUCAACAUCCACCUCGCAACAUUGCCACAAUUGCGACGACUAGUCAACCAAUUAGACCUUCCCAAGCUCGCACUUAUCAACCAGAUGUCGGAAACUGUUGCGCCUCCAUAUGAACAAUUGAAUAGUCUCUCAAUGCCUCUGUAUCUACAGUCUAGGCGACAUGUUGAGACAAUGCCUGAGCAUCCCUGACUCCUUCGUAGCCCGUUUGUAGCAUCACGAACCACUGACACAUAGCGGACAUUGAGAGCGUAAUAUCAUACACGAGUGGAUGUGGAGGAACAUAAGUUAUAUACCUCGAGCUGAAUCAAUAUCGCACGAUAAGGAAUAAAAAAAGUGGAAUUUCCUAACAGUUCUGUAGCCUCUCAAAGAUAAGUACAGACGUCCCCGUACCGAUCCGCAAGACUCUACUAAACCUGUUUGUGACUUGUAGCACCUAUGAACCUAGUGCUCUGAUACCAACUUGUCACGACCCAAAAAUCCCUCCAAAGGAGUCGUGAUGGUACCUAGUCUCUAAACUAGGUAAGUCUAACAUAAACUGAAAUAACAUUGAUAUUUACCAACUUUAAAUUAAAUUACUCUGAAUAAAUUAUAAUUUCCAAAACCGGUGGCACAAGUCACAAGAUUUUCUAAGAGUAGUUAUACAAAAUAAAUACAUCACUGCUCUGAAACAAAAGGAACAAAUGGAAAUAAGUACAAAUAAAGGUGACUCUGAGGCCUGUGAAUGUUGUAGCAGGUUUACCUCGAGUCUCCACCGCAACGAUCCGCACAGUUACUACUGAUCAAAUACCUGGAUCUGUACAAAAAAAUGUACAGAAGUGUAGUAUGAGCACACCACGGCAGUGCCUAGUAAGUAUCAAGACUAACCUUGGUGGGGUAGUGACGAGGAACAAUCUAGACACCUACUGGUCAAAUAAAUUGAACAGGAUUUGAUAAUAAACUAUCAACUUAGAAAUGACAUAGUACUAUCAACAACAGGGAAAGAACAAACUACAAUCAGUAGAAAUAAUAAAGAGAAACACGAGUGGAAACGAAAGAUAACCAUAUAAAUUAACACCAACAUAGCUGGAACAUAUACAAGUAAAAAUGUACUCAACAAGGAAGGCGAUGUCAGCUCAAUAAAUCAUAUCAUUUCUGAUGCACAAUUUCCAGCCAUCUCAAACUCAAUGUCUCAUAUCAUAACCUCAAUUACCAAACUUUUAGCACAACCCGACACCUUGUGCUCACAUAUUUCUAUCUCACUUUACACAAUAAUGUUCUCUUGUUAUUCAGUUCAUAGGGUCCAUAACUAAUGCAAUUAAGAUAUUCAAGGAGUCUGAUUUACAUAACAUAAAGUAGAGUACAACUUCUAAACCAAUUAGGAACCCAAAAGAAAAGAUGAAGUUAUUUUUAGAAAUCAUUUGAAUAAAGAAAGUAACAUUUCAAUUAAAAUACAACAUCGAAUGAAUUAUUGCCUUUAACAAGGAAUUUAAUAAAUUAACUUAGUAGAAAUUUCAUUUUUAAGUAAAAUACAACCUUAGACGGUUUAAGGAAAUUUAAUUGAGUAACUAAAUGAAUUGAAGAUGAAACAAUUACUGAAAUUUUAAAGUAUUGAAAAAUAUGUAUAUAAAUACGGCGAAGUAUUGAAAACACGAUGGGGUUCCUUCACAAAAGAUCACAGCGGUAAAGGAAUCAGAACAGUUAAAACACUUGAAUUGGUAAUAAUAAAUAAGCAUAGCAAACAGAAAGUGCACGACAUCACCCUUCGUGCUUUUACUCUCGUUCUCACCAUAAGAAUCAAUAUUCACUUUUAUUCUUUCUUGUUGCAGGCGUGCAACCCGAUUCCAUUUCAAAUAUUACCAUGGCGGCGUGCCACCCGGUCCCAUUUCAUAUAUCUUGUUGCAGGCAUACAACCCACUCCCAUUUCAUAUAUCUUGUUACAGGCGUGCAACCCGCUCCCAUUUCAUAUAUCUUGUUGCAGGGGUGCAACACACUCCCAUUUCAUAUAUCUUGUUGCAGGCAAACUGGCAGACCGUAUGUAAUUGUUCAAAACGACUAGUCGGGUCGUUACAACGUGGUCGACAAGUAAUAUAAGAUUGUAAGUCUAAAUAUCGUACCCAUAGGGACUUGUGAUUAACUAUCAACUAAAUUAAACCAAAUAAUUAAUCUAUUCAAGCGAAUCCUAACGCAUGAAUAUUUAACUUAAAUUAAUCUAAAGUAACAAAUUAAGAGAUUAAAGAAAACAAGUUGGUGAAUUAUAGAGACGAAUUCAAUGUGAGUAAAUAUUCUAGAGCUAUGGGUUAGCUAACAAUCCCGUUGAGUUUUCCACUUAAAUCGUCUAAUUAAUUUAUUUGGUUUAUUGGUUGAUAGGGUUAAUAUUGCUCGUAGCCUUUUCCCGAAGUAUAACUCGCCUAUUCAAGCUAAUCUAACGCCCAUAUUCCUAUGGAAUUAGAAUUAACAAGAACGCAUUAAUAAUUCUUGUAUAGCAACUAAACAAGGCGAUUAGGUAUAUUCCUAUCCUAACCGCAAAUCUGCCCCCCCCCCCAGAAUUAAGAUCUUGCUCUACUCAAUCUUAUAUGCAAUCUAGAAUUCCCUCUCCCGAGUUCAAUCCUAGAUUCGUAGAUAGUAUUCAAUUGGUGAUCAAACAAUCAAAUAAUUAAGCGCACGAUUGAAUAAAUAAACCAAUAUAAUAAAAUAAUAAGAACAAUUCAAGCUUCAAACUACAACGUUCAUGUAACACCCAAAACUCUAGAACUAAUGAACUAUGAAAUUAAAGGAAGAGAAGAGAAGAGAAGAAAAACUA
rnacentral:lncRNA from 1 species